rnacentral:rRNA from 1 species
GACGAGGGGUCCAAGCGUUGUUCGGAAUCAUUGGGCGUAAAGCGGGUGUAGGUGGCUCUAUAAGUCAGAAGUGAAAGCCCCCGAGCUUAACUCGGGAAGUGCUUUUGAUACUGCAGAGCUUGAAUGUGGGAGAGGAUCGUGGAAUUCCAGGUGUAGUGGUGAAAUACGUAGAUAUCUGGAGGAACACCGGUGGCGAAGGCGGCGAUCUGGCCCAACAUUGACACUGAGACCCGAAA